UACGUAGGCAGCGAGCGUUGUUCGGAGUUACUGGGCGUAAAGGGUGUGUAGGCGGUUUUCUAAGUUUGGUGUGAAAUCUCCCGGCUUAACCGGGAGGGUGCGCCGAAAACUGGGAGACUAGAGUGCGGGAUGGGAGAGUAGAAUUCCUGGUGUAGCAGUGAAAUGCGUAGAUAUCAGGAGGAAUACCGAUGGCGAAGGCAGGUCUCUGGGCUGACACUGACGCUCAUGCACGAAAGCGUGGGGAGCAAACAGG
rnacentral:rRNA from 1 species